rnacentral:rRNA from 1 species
UACAGGGGGGGCAAGCGUUGUUCGGAAUUACUGGGCGUAAAGGGCCAGUAGGCGGCCAACUAAGUCACACGUGAAAUCCCCGGGCUUAACCCGGGAACUGCGUGUGAUACUGGAUGGCUUGAAUUCGGGAGAGGGAUGCAGAAUUCCAGGUGUAGCGGUGAAAUGCGUAGAUAUCUGGAGGAAUACCGGUGGCGAAGGCGGCAUCCUGGACCGACAUUGACGCUGAGGAGCGAAAGCGUGGGGAGCGAACAGG